rnacentral:rRNA from 1 species
GAUGAACGCUGGCGGCGUGCCUAAUACAUGCAAGUCGAGCGAACAGACGAGGAGCUUGCUCCUCUGACGUUAGCGGCGGACGGGUGAGUAACACGUGGAUAACCUACCUAUAAGACUGGGAUAACUUCGGGAAACCGGAGCUAAUACCGGAUAAUAUAUUGAACCGCAUGGUUCAAUAGUGAAAGACGGUUUUGCUGUCACUUAUAGAUGGAUCCGCGCCGCAUUAGCUAGUUGGUAAGGUAACGGCUUAUCAAGGCAACGAUGCGUAGCCGACCUGAGAGGGUGAUCGGCCACACUGGAACUGAGACACGGUCCAGACUCCUACGGGAGGCAGCAGUAGGGAAUCUUCCGCAAUGGGCGAAAGCCUGACGGAGCAACGCCGCGUGAGUGAUGAAGGUCUUCGGAUCGUAAAACUCUGUUAUUAGGGAAGAACAAAUGUGUAAGUAACUAUGCACGUCUUGACGGUACCUAAGCAGAAAGCCACGGCUAACUACGU